GUUUGAUCAUGGCUCANACUUGNAACGCUCGGUUUUACAGCCUAACACAUGCAAGUCGAGCGGAUGACGGGAGCUUGCUCCUUGAUUCAGCGGCGGACGGGUGAGUAAUGCCUAGGAAUCUGCCUGGUGGUGGGGGACAACGUUCGAAAGGAACGCUAAUACCGCAUACGUCCUACGGGAGAAAGCAGGGUGACCUUCGGUGUCUUGCGCUAUCAGAUGAGCCUAGGUCGGAUUAGCUAGUUGGUGGGGUAAUGGCUCACCAAGGCGACGAUCCGUAACUGGUCUGAGAGGAUGAUCAGUCACACUGGAACUGAGACACGGUCCAGACUCCUACGGGAGGCAGCAGUGGGGAAUAUUGGACAAUGGGCGAAAGCCUGAUCCAGCCAUGCCGCGUGUGUGAAGAAGGUCUUCGGAUUGUAAAGCACUUUAAGUUUGGAGGAAGGGCAGUAAGUUAUACCUUGCUGUUUUGACGUUACCGACAGAAUAAGCACCGGCUAACUCUGUGCCAGGCAGCCGCGGUAAUACAGAGGGUUGCAAGGCGUUAAUCGGAAUUACUUGGGGCGUAAAAGCGCGCGUANGUAGGUUUGUUACGUUGGAUGUGAAGGCCCGGGCUCAACCUGGGAACUGCUUCCAAAACUGGCAAGCUAGAGUACGGUAA
rnacentral:rRNA from 1 species